rnacentral:rRNA from 1 species
ACUGAACGCUGGCGGCAUGCCUUACACAUGCAAGUCGAACGGUAACGGGCCUUCGGGUGCCGACGAGUGGCGAACGGGUGAGUAAUGUAUCGGAACGUACCUUUCAGGGGGGGAUAACGUAGCGAAAGUUACGCUAAUACCGCAUAUUCUGUGAGCUGGAAAGCAGGGGAUCGCAAGAACGUGCGCCGAUUGCCAGGCGGAUAUCAGAUUAGCUAGUUGGUGAGGUAAAGGCUCACCAAGGCGACGAUCUGUAGCGGGUCUGAGAGGAUGAUCCGCCACACUGGAACUGAGACACGGUCCAGACUCCUACGGGAGGCAGCAGUGGGGAAUUUUGGACAAUGGGGGCAACCCUGAUCCAGCCAUGCCGCGUGAGUGAAGAAGGCCUUCGGGUUGUAAAGCUCUUUCGGCCGGGAAGAAAUCGUAUGGGUUAAUACCCUGUGCGGAUGACGGUACCGGCAUAAGAAGCACCGGCUAACUACGUGCCAGCCGCCGCGGUAAGAC